rnacentral:tRNA from 1 species
GCUUGAUAGCUCAUUUGGUAGAGCAGUUGCUUAGGGAGCAAUGGGUAGAAGGUUCGAUUCCUUCUCAAGCUG